rnacentral:rRNA from 1 species
GACGAACGCUGGCGGCGUGCUUAACACAUGCAAGUCGAACGGAAAGGCCCUGCUUUUGUGGGGUGCUCGAGUGGCGAACGGGUGAGUAACACGUGAGUAACCUGCCCUUGACUUUGGGAUAACUUCAGGAAACUGGGGCUAAUACCGUAUAGGAGCUCCUGUUGCAUGGUGGGGGUUGGAAAGUUUCGGCGGUUGGGGAUGGACUCGCGGCUUAUCAGCUUGUUGGUGGGGUAGUGGCUUACCAAGGCUUUGACGGGUAGCCGGCCUGAGAGGGUGACCGGCCACAUUGGGACUGAGAUACGGACCAGACUCCUACGGGAGGCAGCAGUGGGGAAUAUUGCACAAUGGGCGGAAGCCUGAUGCAGCAACGCCGCGUGCGGGAUGACGGCCUUCGGGUUGUAAACCGCUUUCGCCUGUGACGAAGCGUGAGUGACGGUAAUGGGUAAAGAAGCACCGGCUAACUACGUG